UACAGAGGUCUCAAGCGUUGUUCGGAUUCAUUGGGCGUAAAGCGUCCGUAGGUGGUUAUUCAAGUCUUUUGUUAAAUAGUGGAGCUCAACUCCAUAGAGGCGGAAGAAACUGAGUACCUUGAGUGCGGUAGGGGUAGAGGGAAUUCCAGGUGUAGCGGUGAAAUGCGUAGAUAUCUGGAAGAACACCAGUGGCGAAGGCGCUCUACUGGGCCGUAACUGACACUGAGGGACGAAAGCUAGGGGAGCGAAAGGG
rnacentral:rRNA from 1 species